GAAAAAGAUUAUAUAUAGGAGCACCACAUCUAUUAUUUCUUACGCUGCAUUUGUAUGGGUCCCAGAUGAGCAACUCAGACCUGAGAAGUAUAAUUGAGGGUAAUGAUGUACAUAUAGUUGCGUUAUUGGUCAUAGUUUUGAAACACUACAAGGCGUCCAUCCAUAGAUAGCAUAGGAGAUAUUAUUCUCAAUGUACCCAAAUCGUCAUGAUGAUUACCAUAAAUACUUAGGAAAAAAAAGUCAAAGUUGACACGCUUACAUUACCUUGAUUAAUUAUCCUUAGAAGUCUUCAAUUAAGUUCAAUAUGUUUUAAAAGAGAGACGAAAGAUACUAAAGGGACAUUCAAACUCAUAAGU
rnacentral:lncRNA from 1 species